CGCAGCCGCGGUAAUUCCAGCUCCAAUAGCGUAUAUUAAAGUUGUUGCAGUUAAAAGCCCGUAGUUGAAUUUCGGGAUCAAUUUGCUGGUCGUGCCUUCGGUACGCACUGGUAUUAUUGGUUUCUCCUUUCUGAUGAAUCGCGAUGUCAUUAAUUUGGUGUCGUGGGGAAUCAGGACCGUUACUUUGAAAAAUUAGAGUGUUUAAAGCAGGCUCACGCUUGAAUACAUUAGCAUGGAAUAAUGAAAUAGGACGUUUGAUUCUAUUUUGUUGGUUUCUAGGAUCGACGUAAUGAUUAAUAGGGAUAGUUGGGGGCAUUAGUAUUCAAUUGUCAGAGGUGAAAUUCUUGGAUUUAUUGAAGACUAACUACUGCGAAAGCAUUUGCCAAGGAUGUUUUCAUUAAUCAAGAACGAAAGUUAGGGGAUCGAAGACGAUCAGAUACCGUCGUAGUCUUAACCAUAAACUAUGCCGACUAGGGAUCGGAUGAUGUAAUUUUUAAUGACUCAUUCGGCGCCUUACGGG
rnacentral:rRNA from 1 species